rnacentral:rRNA from 1 species
UUAAAUUGAAGAGUUUGAUCAUGGCUCAGAUUGAACGCUGGCGGCAGGCCUAACACAUGCAAGUCGAACGGUAACAGGAAGCAGCUUGCUGCUUUGCUGACGAGUGGCGGACGGGUGAGUAAUGUCUGGGAAACUGCCCGAUGGAGGGGGAUAACUACUGGAAACGGUAGCUAAUACCGCAUAACGUCGCAAGACCAAAGAGGGGGACCUUCGGGCCUCUUGCCAUCGGAUGUGCCAGAUGGGAUUAGCUAGUAGGUGGGGUAACGGCUCACCUAGGCGACGAUCCCUAGCUGGUCUGAGAGGAUGACCAGCCACACUGGAACUGAGACACGGUCCAGACUCCUACGGGAGGCAGCAGUGGGGAAUAUUGCACAAUGGGCGCAAGCCUGAUGCAGCCAUGCCGCGUGUAUGAAGAAGGCCUUCGGGUUGUAAGUACUUUCAGCGGGGAGGAAGGGAGUAAAGUUAAUACCUUUGCUCAUUGACGUUACCCGCAGAAGAAGCACCGGCUAACUCCGUGCCAGCAGCCGCGGUAAUACGGAGGGUGCAAGCGUUAAUCGGAAUUACUGGGCGUAAAGCGCACGCAGGCGGUUUGUUAAGUCAGAUGUGAAAUCCCCGGGCUCAACCUGGGAACUGCAUCUGAUACUGGCAAGCUUGAGUCUCGUAGANGGGGGUAGAAUUCCAGGUGUAGCGGUGAAAUGCGUAGAGAUCUGGAGGAAUACCGGUGGCGAAGGCGGCCCCCUGGACGAAGACUGACGCUCAGGUGCGAAAGCGUGGGGAGCAAACAGGAUUAGAUACCCUGGUAGUCCACGCCGUAAACGAUGUCGACUUGGAGGUUGUGNCCUUGAGGCGUGGCUUCCGGAGCUAACGCGUUAAGUCGACCGCCUGGGGAGUACGGCCGCAAGGUUAAAACUCAAAUGAAUUGACGGGGGCCCGCACAAGCGGUGGAGCAUGUGGUUUAAUUCGAUGCAACGCGAAGAACCUUACCUGGUCUUGACAUCCACGGAAGUUUUCAGAGAUGAGAAUGUGCCUUCGGGAACCGUGAGACAGGUGCUGCAUGGCUGUCGUCAGCUCGUGUUGUGAAAUGUUGGGUUAAGUCCCGCAACGAGCGCAACCCUUAUCCUUUGUUGCCAGCGGUCCGGCCGGGAACUCAAAGGAGACUGCCAGUGAUAAACUGGAGGAAGGUGGGGAUGACGUCAAGUCAUCAUGGCCCUUACGACCAGGGCUACACACGUGCUACAAUGGCGCAUACAAAGAGAAGCGACCUCGCGAGAGCAAGCGGACCUCAUAAAGUGCGUCGUAGUCCGGAUUGGAGUCUGCAACUCGACUCCAUGAAGUCGGAAUCGCUAGUAAUCGUGGAUCAGAAUGCCACGGUGAAUACGUUCCCGGGCCUUGUACACACCGCCCGUCACACCAUGGGAGUGGGUUGCAAAAGAAGUAGGUAGCUUAACCUUCGGGAGGGCGCUUACCACUUUGUGAUUCAUGACUGGGGUGAAGUCGUAACAAGGUAACCGUAGGGGAACCUGCGGUUGGAUCACCUCCUUACCUUAAAGAAGC